rnacentral:rRNA from 1 species
UGAUGCAGCCAUGCCGCGNUGUGUGAAGAAGGCCUUCGGGUUGUAAAGCACUUUCAGUCAGGAGGAAAGGGUGUGAGUUAAUACCUCACAUCUGUGACGUUACUGACAGAAGAAGCACCGGCUAACUCCGUGCCAGCAGCCGCGGUAAUACGGAGGGUGCGAGCGUUAAUCGGAAUUACUGGGCGUAAAGCGUACGCAGGCGGUUUGUUAAGCGAGAUGUGAAAGCCCCGGGCUCAACCUGGGAACUGCAUUUCGAACUGGCAAACUAGAGUGUGAUAGAGGGUGGUAGAAUUUCAGGUGUAGCGGUGGAAUGCGUAGAGAUCUGAAGGAAUACCGAUGGCGAAGGCAGCCACCUGGGUCAACACUGACGCUCAUGUACGAAAGCGUGGGGAGCAAACGGGAUUAGAUACCCCGGUAGUCCACGCCGUAAACGAUGUCUACUAGAAGCUCGGAACCUCGGUUCUGUUUUUCAAAGCUAACGCAUUAAGUAGACCGCCUGGGGAGUACGGCCGCAAGGUUAAAACUCAAAUGAAUUGACGGGGGCCCGCACAAGCGGUGGAGCAUGUGGUUUAAUUCGAUGCAACGCGAAGAACCUUACCUACACUUGACAUACAGAGAACUUACCAGAGAUGGUUUGGUGCCUUCGGUAGCUCUGAUACAGGUGCUGCAUGGCUGUCGUCAGCUCGUGUUGUGAGAUGUUGGGUUAAGUCCCGCAACGAGCGCAACCCCUAUCCUUAGUUGCUAGCAGGUAAUGCUGAGAACUCUAAGGAGACUGCCGG